rnacentral:rRNA from 1 species
UACGUAGGGGGCAAGCGUUGUCCGGAAUCAUUGGGCGUAAAGAGCGUGUAGGCGGCUCGAUAAGUCUGCUGUGAAAGUCCAGGGCUCAACCCUGGAAGGCCGGUGGAAACUGUCGGGCUAGAGUCCGGAAGAGGCGAGUGGAAUUCCCGGUGUAGCGGUGAAAUGCGCAGAUAUCGGGAGGAACACCAAUGGCGAAGGCAGCUCGCUGGGCCGUAACUGACGCUGAGGAGCGAAAGCGUGGGGAGCGAACAGG